GGAUAAGUGGUCGAGUGGUUUAAGGCGUUAGUUUUGAAAACUAUUGUAUUAUAAAAGUACCGUAGGUUCGAAUCCUACCUUAUCCU
rnacentral:tRNA from 1 species